rnacentral:rRNA from 1 species
AUCCCGUCCGAUCUGCGAAGUUAAGCAAGGUAUCGCCUAGUCAGUACUGCGGUGGGGGACCACGCGGGAAUCCUAGGUGCUGCAGUUC